ACUCGGUGACGUCAGAGGCCCAGCGCCGAGUGCGCACGCGCACUUGUGGAAAGCGCAAGGACUUGUUUUCUGGAAGCUUUGCUCUUUUCACUGUUAGUGAGGUGCAGUCAAGAACGCGUAUUAGCAGAGAAUGCUGAUGUUCUGUGUAGACAGGGAUUGUCACUCUACCUCUUGUCUAAGCAUCAACCUGGGGGGACUCCUGUGAGAAUACAGUAUGAAAGGCUGUCUACAGAUGUACCCAUGGUGGGUUACCAUGGGAGAACCCCUAACUGUGUUUGCAAUGGUGAGUGAGGGAAAGAAGUCUCCUUCUCCAAUUCUCUUUGUGAGCCUCAGGGCUGUCUGACUGUUGGGAUAGAGCUGUAGACUUUCCCUACUGGACCCAGCAUUGCACUUGUGCCUCUGCUGAAAGAAACUUCCCACAAAUGGAAAGCUCAGGGACUCGAGGUUCCGUGGGGUGCUCUCUUAAUGUGGUACACUCCCUCUUCCCCAAUGAGUAGAAGUCUGCUGGGUACAUUGUGGACCCCAUGGUGGUGACUGAGCAACCCCAAGCUUCUGGAGGAAUUGGUAAAACCCGAGCUAUCUGAUAUAAGAAGAAGAAAUUGUUGUUGAUUUUUAACCUAUAAAUUCUCUUAGAAUUUUGUUUCCCUAAAAUGAGUUAUUUGCUUUGUGAUGCUUGUUGUUUACUGUGUUGAACAUGUAUGAGAAAAUGAAGAAUAAUAUGAAAAGCUGAGCUGUAACUUGUAACUUUGGUUCUGCUGAGCUGUUCUUAUAGAAACAGGAACUCUGUGUAAGAGACAAACCACAUAACAUGACUGCUGGAGAGAGAUAACAGCACGUAAUAAGCUUCUCAUUGCAGAGAGCCUAUAAACGGACGUGUAAUGGAGAGGCUUAUUACCUUGAUUCCUUUCCCAGGAAAGACAUAUUGAUUAUGGCCCUGGAAAGAGAAUGUGACUCUUAAGGAGAGCCUAUAAACGGAUGUAUGAGGGGCGUCUGUCAUGAGGAAAAACCUCUGUGGUAGAGACAAGGAUGUAAGUCUUUCUUCUCCCACUGCUCCUCCAGUCCUGCAUGGGGGUCUCCCCCCUCUUGCAGUUUUGUGGUCAGGCUGGUUGUCUUGUGUCAGAUCCUGUUCCCCAUGCAGCUGUGAGCCUAAUGCUUUUCUUGCUGAUGAUUUUAAGUUUAUGUUUAACCUCUAUUCUUGCUAAGGUUUAUGGUUUCUAUGCUGACAUUGUGAUCUUUGUGUACCAGUUUUGCAAAUGUAUUCCUUUUGUAUGAUCAUUACCAUACUGUUGUGUAGCCUCACUCACCUCCCCUAUUGAAAGAGCUUAACAAAAAACUGAGGUUUCAGGGGAAUUUUAGACAUCCAUGGAGUGGCUUUAUGUAGUGUCUCCCGUGGGCCCAGCUUUGAAGAAAACUGUUGUCUUUUUUUUUCUUUUUCGCUGACCACUCAAUCACUUUGAGAGAUCUUGAAUCCACUUUGAUAUAUUGGGAGCUGGUCUUUGAAUAGAAGUUCGUGAGAAAACUACUGUGAGUCCUGCUGCUGCCAUGGAUAUAGUUGCCCAGUGGAGCUGCCAUACUCCAGGCUGGUUCUAGGAAAUGUCUGCAAGAAAUCGAGUGAUAUGACCUAUUCUCAAGUCUUCCAGCAGUCAGUACCAACAUCAACUCUGAUGGGAGUGGAAGGGGAGUGACAUAGACUCUUAGAUUUCUAUGGUUAUAAAUAGUUUUGAUGUGUUCGCUUUUUGAAAUGUCAGCUGCAGUAGUAAUGUACUGAGCACAUGAACAGGCUCAGGAGCUCCUGGUUACCCAAGCUGAUGCAAGCAAUGAUGAUGGCUCAGGUUGAGCAAAAGUUUUCUUUCCUGAAUGCUGUUAUUGUGCCUGCAGAUGUUGUAAUGGGCUGUGCCAGCUGGCCUCUAGCCAGAAGGUGACACUUACAAAAGAGCACCAGCUGCAUGGGUAGUGGUGGAAUCUGUGCUUGCCUUAUGUUACUCAGGGGAGGUCCCCUGGUGCCUCAGGUAGUGGAAGGUGCCAUGGAGCUCCCAAAGAUCCUUAUUCCUUGUUACACUACCAGGGCCUCUUGUGUUACAGUACCAGGACAGGUAGUAGGGCAAAGCCAGGUGGGGGCUGGGUCAGGUAGUUCCAUCCUCUGGCUUCCUAUAUACAGGUGCAAGCAGUAGCUCCAUUGAAGAUGGGGGAAGAGUUUCCUGUCUGCUGGAGUGGUGUUCUAGGGAAGAGCGCAGCUGCCUCUGCUACACAAAAGAAUCUGCAUGUUGUGUGAGAGGUUAGCAGUUGCCAGUGAGCCCCACUCAACUCCCCCAUACUUGGCAAGGAAGGUCUCUCACACACGGUGUUCUGCUAGGAGCAGCUAGCUGAGUCCCAGGCAUUCUGCACUCAGAACACAGAACUGCCCCCAGGCCACAAACCUUUUUGCUGGAGACAGAAACUGUGGCUUUCAGGUCAUGUUUUUCCCAGUCCACCCAUGAAGCAGGGCUUUUCAGCUUUUGCAUCCACGACAAUAGCACAUUUCCUGCUCAGUUCUGGCCAAUGGAGUUCAUCCCCUCUACAGCUUAUAUCACAAAUCUAAGUUGGGAGCUUCUCUCAAUCUAUGACCACCACGUGAGUUAGCUAGCAGACUUUCACAAGUUCCCCUGUGUAGUAGGAUCAGGAAUGACUUCCCUCCAUGCCCACUGGAGUCUCUGAGUACACACAAAGCAUCCUUCUCAUACAGUCUAGACUGCUCACUAAAUCAGCUCCAGCACUGGGUAGGGUUAUGGCCUUUCUCUGUGACAUGGAUUUCCUGACCCUCGCAUGGGAGCCUAUGUCACAGUGGCAGUCUGUCCCUAAUCUCAUGCUCUGGAGACUUAGUUUUCUCUCUGGUGAAUGCUGUAGGUUCUUUCAAAGGCUCUAUUGUUUUAAAUGAAACUUUUCUGUUAAGUUCCUUUGUUGCUUCUUGGAAAAAAGUUUGCAGUGUGAAUUAUUUUGUCUUUCCAAGUGAGAGAUGCAUGCUAGCAAUGCCUACAAUCUGCCAUCUUCUACAGACAGUUUCAAAAGAUUACUUUCAUUUUUCAUUCUUUGCUCUUAGUCGACAACUACAAUUUUUUAAUAUUUUUAAAUGUCUUCAAAUACCUCAAGUAGUAACAGAAACUAAUGAUCCUAGUUUAAUUAAUUUUUAAAUUAUUUAUAGGAUGUUCAUAAGUAGUUUGAUGAGAUUAUAAUUGUGUAUAUCAACUCCACAAAUUCCACAAGUCACUGUUAUAAAUUAGUUUAUUCCCUAAUUUUUCAGUGAAAAUUCAAAAUUACCGUGGAAAGUUAAAAUAUACCACAUAUACUGUUUAACUAUCUGUAAAUGCCAGAGUGACUUUUGCCAUACAAAUGGAAUUACACAUUAAUAACUGCAAGGAUAAAAAUCAAAGUUUAUGAUUGACAUACAAUGUCUUCAAAUUGUCAAUGUUAAAGGUUUCUGAUGUCAUUUCUUCAUGAGCAGAUCUUCUGAGAUUUGAGUAAGUAUCUUUACGAGUACUUUUUUCUACCUUAUUUGACUUGUCAAAUACGUCAAAAUAUGAUUGACUGGCAUGCCAGCAAUGAAUGGAUAAGAUGCCACACCUAGAUGUCUGUGGCAGAGUCUUCUUACUACAAUGAAUAUAUUGUUUGACAAAUGGAAAUGCAUAGUAUAUUUUUAAAUUUCUUUAGUUUUCCUUCAUCUGUUGACUCAGUAUUCAUGUUUUAUUUUGUGGAUUUCAGAUUCACAGAGAUACAUUAGUUUCACUUUUUAAAUUUUCAGAGUCUAUUGACUUGAGUAUAAAUAAAAUUAUGAUAUAAAAUAGUAUGGAAAUGAGUAACAUUAUAAAAGUUGUUUCAGUCAUCUUAAAAUAUUUUUCAGUGAAACAUUUGGGGCAGUAUUUUCAGUGAACUAUUCAUACUUUAGAAUAUGCUAUACAUUAUGUUAAAUAAGGGAAGUGAAAUACUGGAAGCAAAUUCUAAUGAACUUUCUGAAUUAUAACUUAGAAACAGACAAAACAACACCACAAACAUUUUUAAUGUAUUUUUAAAAAGAUCGAUUAUAUAUUGUAUAUAUUUAAGAUAGAUAAUUCUUAAGGUUUUAAAGGCAUAUACAAAUAAAUGCCUAUUAUAUAUGUAUAUGUAUAUUCAAUGUUUGUUCAUUUUGUUUCUCUAGAUCCUUAUUUUCUUAUUUAGUUAAAAAGAAUUUUAGUUAAAACAUGCACUAUACAUAUACAUAUAUGCAUAUUAUAUAUGUAUAUGCAUUUAAAAUCUUGAUAAUUAUCUCUCUUAAAAUUCUUUUUAACUAAAUGAGAAAACAGAGUUCUAGAGAGAUAAAAUAAUUUGCCCAAAAUCACUCAGUCACCUAGUUAGUAAAGUCUUCAGGUUGUUGCUUUAAAUUGUUUUUUUUAAAUCUCCAAAUCCUGUUUUCUUUCUACUAGUAAAUUGAGUCGAUCCCUAAACUGAUUAAUGUCAUAAUGUGCUUUUUUUACACAAAAGACUAAAUAAAUAUUAAUCAUUCUGCUAAUUUUAACUAAGGAAAUCCUAUAUAAUAUCACCGUAUUUAUCAAGCCACAUAGGUAUAAAUAUGACACUUGUGAAUUGAAAAUAGUUGAACAAGGAAAGGAGCCUGUGUGUGUUUGUGUAUGUUAGUUAUGCAUUGUUCCAAAACAACUACAGUACUCCAAAUCAUAGUAGCUUAAAACAAUUUACAAUGUAUUAAGCCUCACAAAUCAUCAGUUUAAUUGGAUGUUUCCUUUUCUGUUUUUACCUGUGCUCCUUCAUGCUGCUAAGUCCAGCUAAGGGGUUGGAUGGAGGUUCAACUGUAACGCCUAGAUGUCUGGGCCUCUCUCCAUGUGUUUUUUAUUCUCAAGGAGACUAGAUUAGUCUGGCCUUCCUCACAUGUGAUGUUUGCAUUUCUAAGAGAGUGCAUGGUUUCAUGACUAUAGCUCAGAAGUUCCCAUUGUCAUUUCUGACAUGUUCCAUUGGUGAAAGCAAGACUCAAGACCAGAUUCAAAGAGGUAGACAAAUACAAUUCAUCUCUCAAUGGAAAGAGUAGAAAUGGCACAUUGUACUAGGGUUUUCAAACCAGGCCAUGAUUGCAACAAUCAUAUUUACUUUAAAGUAUGAAUUCAAAUAUAUUAAUAAAACUGUAUUUCAAAAUGAGUUUUAUGAAGUAAAGUUUUUAAUACAUAUUAUGCAAUUUCCUCUUUUUGUCUCAUUAUGAGAUGCCUUUAGCAAUUAAAUUUGGUUCUUUGUUAUUCUCUUUCCUUCUUCUUUGGAACACCUUUUAAAUAUAUAUUACUUACUUGGGAAUUUAUAAAUCUGUUUUACAGUGUCAGUUAAUGUCACUGCAUCAAACUCUAAAUAUCUAAAACUAGACUUACCCAUUCCUAAUUCUCUGUCAAUGCUACAACUCCUUUUCAGGUUCCCCCUCAAUCAGUAAUUCAGAAUGGCAUGUUUAAAUGUUAGCAAAUGAACAUUUUUUUUCCCCAAAAGAAAUCUUACACGAAAUCUCAGUAAAUAAAAUUAUAAUCAUGGUGAUUAGUGAGUGUAAACUUAUUUGUAAGAUAACAUUAUUUAUUAUAUUUCAGUCAAUGAGAAAACUGAAGCAGUUUAGAUAAAAAUACUUGCAAACAAAUCACAGUUGCUUUAUAUUGUCUUUUUGGUUUGUUUUGGUUGCAUAGGAAAGGUAAAAUCCUGAUUCAAAUGGGGAAACAGCUACAAAUGCUAACUUGAAAUAUCAAGAUAUUUUUUAACCUGAAAUAAAUGCCUAUAACAAAUGUAAUGGUAAAGUAUAUGCUUCAAAGUAGAAUUCCUAUCAAGAACAAAACUACUGGUAAUCUUUAUAAUUAAUCUGAAAGAUAAGCAGUACCUCAAAGUCUGAA